rnacentral:tRNA from 1 species
GGGGAUGUAGCUCAGUGGUAGAGUACUUGCCUUGCAAUUGUGAGGUGCUGGAUUCCAUCCCUA